CCUCUCUACCACACCACCUCUCGGCCGCCGCUGCCUCUCCCAUCCCAGACUCUUCUCCUCUGCCGUGCCACAGGCCCCUUUCUCCCUCGUCGAUCUGCGGCGGGUACGGGGACGCCCAAGGACGGAGAGAUCCCGGUGGUGGUUGGGCGCCGUUGACCUCAUGCAUGGAGGCAAGGCAGAGGGUGGCUGCGGCGGUGCCGGUCACCGUGGCGGCAGGCGGCAGUUCGAGGGGCAGGGAGGUCGGGGAUGGAUGGAUCCGGCAGCCCCCGUCCGGAACCGAGGCGGUGGGCGCUCGGGGUCGCCGACGGUGGCCUCACGGGCGGACGGAGAGGAUCGCGUCGGGGUCGGUGAAGCCGUUCAUGAUGCACUUGCGAGCGGCCGAGAAGCAGUUCGCCAUCCGGCUGUAGCUGGACCGGCGUGUCGCGUGGUUCAGCAAGGGCACCCUCGAUAGAUGAAAUGGAUAGGUCAGUUGAUUACGACUUCAAAGCUUCAACCAUCUUGGAGAAUUUGGUUUAAGUGUCUAGAGUUGUCAUGUUUAUUUUGUUAUACAUAUAUGGUUUCAGUCAAUUUGAGUUGACUCACAUCAGGCACAGGUUGGUUCAUUCACUUCCUUCAUUUGAUUCAUGUAUAUGUACAGGGCGAAGUGUUAGUUUUCUUUAAUUCAGCCCUAGAACCUGAGAUAAUAAUGCAUGUGAAGAGGUCUGCUCUAGAAAAAUAGAUAGAGCUCUUCAGUGGCAUAUAUAUUGGGUGAUACUACUCAAGAAGCUGGUUCCUUUGUGCAUGAAGGUUCACGCGCUUUAUGAAAACAUGCUCAUGUAUCAAGCAGAUCGUUCAUCAUCUUAUGUACGUUAACAUUGGAUAAUCAAAAAUAAUAUUAAAGCAAUUAUAGGAUUUGUAUCAUGUUGUUUUUUCUCAAACCGGACAUAUUUGAUGAUAUUCAACCUAGCUCAAAAUAUGUCGUAUACAUUUGAAUUCAAAGAGCAACUGCAGUCAAACCUUCUGCAGAGGAUCUUGCCGCCGGCCACGCGGUCGACAAAGCCCGGUGCCAGUCACGGGAAGUCCUCCUUGCCUGCCUCGCCCAGGCAUCUCAAGCAUUCCUGCUGGAUUACAUGGAGCAGACCAGGCAGCAGAUCAGGCAGAUUGGAAUUGAAGAGGGUGUUUACUCGAUUAUUACUUGCAUGUGGACUAGGCUGCUAGCCACCGCUGCCUCCUCUGCCCCUCAUGCAUCAACAUCACCAACAACAUCAAGCCGCUGCUGUUGCUGCACCCGGCGACGACGCAGCCGCCAUCUACCACCACCUCUUUGGGGAUCAAUUGGUUAAAAGGUGUUCGCUCAAAUUGCUUGCUGUACCAUGGCCACCGCCACCAAUUCUUCUUCUCUUCUCCGUCCGUCAAGACAAAUUAUAAUGUCGCUUUUCUUGAGCACAUCAUUCCUCUCUUCCCAGAUGUGUCAGAUUGUGAUGUUCAUGACUGUAGCGUGAAGCUAAGCACGAGAGAGAUAGUCAAGCAGCCGUGUGCAACCUCAUUGUCUCGACUCUGCACAAGAAUACAUCCUUUCCUCAUCAUUUCUUCCAUUCAAUGCAGUUAACUUGUUCUGCAGCAAACGAAUGCUCUUAUACAGAGUACUUUAGAAUUAGAGAAUCAGUUUAAGCAAAAGCAUCUCAUCACCAUUCGCUGCCCACUGUCUUGACUUAUCUUCUAUAGAUACUAGAAUAUCUAGCGGGCAAAACGACGAGGGCUAGCUGUACCAAAAUUCAGAUAGUGGGCGCAGACGCCAGGCGAUAUUCC